rnacentral:rRNA from 1 species
AUUGAACGCUGGCGGCAGGCCUAACACAUGCAAGUCGAGCGAGCGGCGGAAGGGUGAGUAAUGUCAGGGAAACUGCCCGAUGGAGGGGGAUAACUAAUGGAAACGGUAGCUACUACCGCAUACUAUCAGAUGUGCCCAGAUGGGAUUAGCUAGUAGGUGGGGUAAUGGCUCACCUAGGCGACGAUCCCUAGCUGGUCUGAGAGGAUGAGCAGCCACCCUGGAACUGAGACACGGUCCAUACUCCUACGGGAGGCAGCAGUGGGGAAUAUUGCACAAUGGGCGCAAGCCUGAUGCAGCCAUGCCGCGUGUAUGAAGAAGGCCCUGGGGUUGUAAAGUACUUUCAGUGAGGAGGCGUUACUCGCAGAAGAAGCACCGGCUAACUCCGUGCCAGCAGCCGCGGUAAUUC